AAAUGUAUAGCUCAAUUGGUAGAGCGCCGGACUUUUAAUCCGAGGGUCUUGGGUUCGAAUCCCGAUACAUUUA
rnacentral:tRNA from 1 species